rnacentral:scRNA from 1 species
AAUUUCGUCACCUCCCAGCAAAUGGCGGACCAU